GUAGAACUCAGGUUAAAUAAAGGAGGUAAGAUGUUCUAGGUACAUCAUAGCCUAUGGAAAGAACCCUCUGCUGUCCAGUACAAAGUCUGGGCCUCCUCUCAAAGUUACUGCAGAAGUGCAAGCUUCUAGGACAGCCAAGGCCCCCCUGCAGUAAGCACACAAUGUGGUGUGCCAAUUCGGAGAAAGGCACGUGGUCACAGGCUAGUCCGACAGGCCGACGAAGCACGGAGUGUGUGAGUCUGGGCAGUGCUCUGGUCUCCCGAACAGAGCUGAGGCUCUUCCAGAACUUUCGACCAUGUGAAGGCUCCACCCCAGGAGAUGCCUGCUUUAUUCCAAACAUGCAAUCUCCCAUCAAGUGAAGAAUUUACGAAACCCGGAUCACCCCAGCUCCACCGCCCUCUGAC